rnacentral:rRNA from 1 species
UACAGAGGAGCCAAGCGUUGUCCGGAUUGACUGGGCGUAAAGCGCACGCAGGCGGUCGGGCGCGUGGGGUGGGAAAUCUGGCCGCUUAACGGCCAGGCGCCAUCCCAUACGGCCGGACUGGAGGGAUGCAGAGGUCGGUGGAAUUGCCGGUGUAGUGGUGAAAUGCGUAGAUAUCUGGAGGAACACCGGUGGCGAAGGCGACAUCCUGGACCGGCAUUGACGCUGAGGCGCGAAAGCCAGGGAAGCAAACGGG